CUCUGAACUGCUUGUGUCGGAUUUUUACCUGUAUUAAUUAGGGCGUAAUUGAGUCUCGCCGAGCGGAGGUAAUCGUCUUAGUGUGCCCGAUCAGCCUGGCUGCGCCCGGGAAGGGGAAACGAAAGUGGUUUAAGUUCUUUAAGAGCCCGCUGGGGUUUCAGCAUCAGAGGCUCUUCUUCCGGAAGAUGUAGGUCACUGCUGGUGACCCACUUCACUGGAUUGACUCCAGAUUGACUCGUGGGAAUAGGACAAGCUCAUCGGUGUAGGCCGUAUAUGCAGUGGUUCUUCUUGCCUUGAACUGAGAAGAACCUGAGCAUCCAUCAUUUCUUGAUAGAUAAUCUAUCCCAUGUUGUUCUUCCUGGGACAAAUGGGAGUUAUGCCCUCAGCACUGGCAAAGAAGUCCUCAUGCUAAGGGCUGGGAGAAUCAGCUGCCACAGGUAAAGAGCUGAGACAUGGGAUUGAAAUCAUACUGAGGAACUAAGAGAAUUGGAAGGAGAGAUGGAAGAGCAGUGAGAUGCUGCCCAGAAAGCCAUUGGGGAGUUAACCAAGAGAGGCUUACAGCCACAGAGAAGCUUAGCAAGAACCAGAUAAAGAAGCUGGAGGAGGCUUUAAACAUGGAUCUUUGAAACAGAAAGAUGUUGUCUCCUUAUCCAUCACCCUCUCUGCCCUAAACACUAAGCUCACCUGCUGUUCCACUGCGAAAAGGACCUUUGCAUCAUCUGUGGGUAGAGUACAUUUGUUCUGUUCAGCCUUGUCAUCAGUAUCAGUGCUCAAGGUUGCUUAGUGCAGCUCACUCUGCAGUAAUGAAGUUAUGGACAAAUAUUACAAAUACUUUGAUUAAUGUAG
rnacentral:lncRNA from 14 species